rnacentral:rRNA from 1 species
UUGAACGCUGGCGGCAUGCUUUACACAUGCAAGUCGAACGGCAGCGGGGGCUUCGGCCUGCCGGCGAGUGGCGAACGGGUGAGUAAUGCAUCGGAACGUACCCAGUCGUGGGGGAUAACUACGCGAAAGCGUAGCUAAUACCGCAUACGCCCUGAGGGGGAAAGCGGGGGACCUUCGGGCCUCGCGCGAUUGGAGCGGCUGAUGUCGGAUUAGCUAGUUGGUGGGGUAAAGGCCUACCAAGGCGACGAUCCGUAGCUGGUCUGAGAGGAUGAUCAGCCACACUGGGACUGAGACACGGCCCAGACUCCUACGGGAGGCAGCAGUGGGGAAUUUUGGACAAUGGGCGAAAGCCUGAUCCAGCCAUGCCGCGUGCGGGAAGAAGGCCUUCGGGUUGUAAACCGCUUUCAGCCGGAAAGAAAUCGCCACUUCUAAUACGAGUGGUGGAUGACGGUACCGGAAGAAGAAGCACCGGCUAACUACGU